GAUAGGAAGAGCCGACAUCGAAGGAUCAAAAAGCAACGUCGCUAUGAACGCUUGGCUGCCACAAGCCACUUAUCCCUGUGGUAACUUUUCUGGCACCUCUUGCUUGAAACUCGCAAGUUCAAAA